rnacentral:rRNA from 1 species
GGGAUAACCUGGGGAAACUCGGGCUAAUACCGCAUAAUCUCUUUGGACCAAAGAGGGGGACCCUCGCACCCCGUCCUAUAAGAUGAGCCUACACCCGAAUAGCUUGUUGGUGGGGUAAUGGCCCACCAAGGCGACGAUCCGUACCCGGUCUGAGAGGAACAUCAGCCACACUGGGACUGAGACACGGCCCAGACUCCUACGGGAGGCAGCAGUGGGGAAUAUUGGACAAUGGGGGAAACCCUGAUCCAGCAAUGCCGCGUGUGUGAACAAGGCCUUCGGGUUGUAAAGCACUUUCGGUGGGGAAGAAAUUCUCAAGGGUAAUAUCCUUGGGCGUUGACGUUACCCACAGAAGAAGCACUGGCUAACUCUGUCCCAGCAGCCGCGGUAAUACAGAGAGUGCAAGCGUUAAUCGGAAUCACUGGGCGUAAAGCGCGCGUAGGUGGAUAUUUAAGUCCGAUGUGAAAGCCCUGGGCUUAACCUGGGAAUUGCACCCGAUACUGGGUAUCUUGAGUAUGGUAGAGGGAACUGGAAUUUCCGGUGUAGCGGUGAAAUGCGUAGAUAUCGGAAAGAACACCAGUGGCGAAGGCGACUUCCUGGACCAAUACUGACACUGACGCGCGAAAGCGUGGGGAGCAAACAGGAUUAGAGACCCUGGUAGUCCACGCCGUCAACGA